GAUUCCCUUAGCUACGGCGAGCGAACCGGGAUUAGCCCAGCUUGAGAAUCGGGCGGCCCCGCCGUCCGAAUUGUAGUCUAUAGAAGCGUCCUCAGCGACGGACCGGACCCAAGUCCCCUGGAAGGGGGCGCCGGAGAGGGUGAGAGCCCCGUCGUGUCCGGACCCUGUCGCACCACGAGGCGCUGUCGGCAACUGCGCGCUCCCGGCGUCGGCCUGCGGGCUCCCCAUUCGCCCCGUCUUGAAACACAGACCAAGGAGUUUGACAUGUGCGCGAGUCGACGGGCGAGUAAACCCGUAAGGCGCAAGGAAGCUGACUGGCGGGAUCCCCCUGGAGGCUGCACCGCCAGCCGACCCAAAUCUUCUCUGAAGGGUUUGAGUGUGAGCAUACCUGUCGGGACUUGAAAGAUGGUGAACUAUGCUUGAGCGGGGCGAAGCCAGAGGAAACUCUGGUGGAAGCCCGCAGCGAUACUGACGCGCAAAACGUUCGUCUGACUUGGGUAUAGGGGCGAAAGACUAAUCGAACCAUCUAGUAGCUGGUUUCCUCCGAAGUUUCCCUCAGGAUAGCUGGAGCUCAAGGGCGAGUUCUUUCGGGUAAAGACAAUGAUUAGAGGCAUCGGGGGCGCAAUGCCCUCGACCUAUUCUCAAACUUUAAAUAGGUAGGACGGCGCGGUUGCUCCGCUGAGCCGCGCCACGGAAUCGAGAGCUCCAAGUGGGCCAUUUUUGGUAAGCAGAACUGGCGAUGCGGGAUGAACCGAAAGUCGGGUUACGGUGCCCAACUGCGCGCUAACCUAGAACCCACAAAGGGUGUUGGUCGAUUAAGACAACAGGAUGGUGGUCAUGGAAGUCGAAAUCCGCUAAGGAGUGUGUAACAACUCACCUGACGAAUCAACUAGCCUCAAAAAUGGAUGGCGCUGAAGCGCGCGACCCACACCCGACCGUCGGGGCAAUUGUCAGGCCCCGAUGAGUAGGAGGGCGCGGCG
rnacentral:rRNA from 1 species